GACGAACGCUGGCGGCGUGCCUAAUACAUGCAAGUUGAGCGAUGAAGAUUGGUGCUUGCACCAAUUUGAAGAGCAGCGAACGGGUGAGUAACGCGUGGGGAAUCUGCCUUUGAGCGGGGGACAACAUUUGGAAACGAAUGCUAAUACCGCAUAACAACUUUAAACAUAAGUUUUAAGUUUGAAAGAUGCAAUUGCAUCACUCAAAGAUGAUCCCGCGUUGUAUUAGCUAGUUGGUGAGGUAAAGGCUCACCAAGGCGAUGAUACAUAGCCGACCUGAGAGGGUGAUCGGCCACAUUGGGACUGAGACACGGCCCAAACUCCUACGGGAGGCAGCAGUAGGGAAUCUUCGGCAAUGGACGAAAGUCUGACCGAGCAACACCGCGUGAGUGAAGAAGGUUUUCGGAUCGUAAAACUCUGUUGGUAGAGAAGAACGUUGGUGAGAGUGGAAAGCUCAUCAAGUGACGGUAACUACCCAGAAAGGGACGGCUAACUACGUG
rnacentral:rRNA from 1 species